UACGUAGGGACCGAGCGUUGUCCGGAUUCAUUGGGCGUAAAGAGCUCGUAGGCGGCUGUUCAAGUCGAACGUGAAGACUCGGAGCUCAACUCCGAGCCUGCGUUCGAUACUGGACGGCUAGAGUCUAGUAGGGGGAUCUGGAAUUCCUGGUGUAGCGGGUGGAAUGCGCAGAUAUCAGGAGGAACACCGGUGGCGAAGGCGGGAUCCUGGGCCAGUACUGACGCUGAGGAGCGAAAAGCGUGGGGGAGCAAACAGGG
rnacentral:rRNA from 1 species